rnacentral:rRNA from 1 species
AGAGCGAACGCUGGCGGCAGGCUUAACACAUGCAAGUCGAGCGCCCCCGCAAGGGGAGCGGCAGACGGGUGAGUAACGCGUGGGAACGUACCUUUUGGUUCGGACAACACAGGGAAACUUGUGCUAAUACCGGAUAAGCCCUUACGGGGAAAGAUUUAUCGCCGAAAGAUCGGCCCGCGUCUGAUUAGCUAGUUGGUGAGGUAACGGCUCACCAAGGCGACGAUCAGUAGCUGGUCUGACGAGGAUGAUCAGCCACAUUGGGACUGAGACACGGCCCAAACUCCUACGGGAGGCAGCAGUGGGGAAUAUUGGACAAUGGGCGCAAGCCUGAUCCAGCCAUGCCGCGUGAGUGAUGAAGGCCCUAGGGUUGUAAAGCUCUUUUAACGGGGAGAUAAUGACGGUACCGUAGAAUAAGUCCCGGCUAACUUCGCGCCAGCAGCCGC